rnacentral:ncRNA from 1 species
AGUUUUACCCUACUGUUGACUAAUUGUUGCGAUAGUAAUCCUGCUUAGUACGAGAGGAACAGCAGGUUCAGACAUUUGGUUCAUGGACUUGACCGAUCGGUCAAUGGUCCAAGCUACCAUCUGACGGAUUAUGACUGAACGCCUCUAAGUCAGAAUCCUGCCUAGUCAAGGCAACAAUAAUGUUGCUUCCCGGUGUCGGGAGGCAUCCUUAUCUCGUGGUAACACGAGAGCUUAUGCCCUAGUAAAUGGCCUUGCCAAUGGGGAGAAUCCCUAUUGGUUGCCAAAGCCAGAUCACUCUGGUUCAAUGUCGGGGCGCAAAAUCACUUGCUUACGACUUGUAUACUGGUCAAGGUGUUGUAUCCAGUAGAGCAGUCUCUUUAUACUGCGAUCUGUUGAGACUAUCCUUUGAUUGGAUGUUUUGU